CAGACCAGUAUUAAAGGCAACGCCUGCCCAGUGAAUAAUUAAACGGCCGCGGUAUCCUAACCGUGCAAAGGUAGCGUAAUCACUUGUCUAUUAAUUGUAGACCUGUAUGAAAGGCUUAAUGAGGGUCCAACUGUCUCUUAUAGUAAAUCAAUUAAACUGAUCUUCCAGUCCAAAAGCUGGGAUACUAACAUAAGACCAGAAGACCCUGUGAAGCUUAAACUAAACUAUUAAAACCAAUAAUAACUACUUUCGGUUGGGGCGACCUUGGAAAUAAAAAGAACUUCCAAAACCAUAACUUACAUAGUUUUACAUUAGGCCAACAAGCCCACCACGACCCAGCAUAGCUGAUAAUUGAACCAAGUUACUCCAGGGAUAACAGCGCUAUCUUCUUCAAGAGCCCAUAUCAAAAAGAAGGUUUACGACCUCGAUGUUGGAUCAGGACAUCCUAAUGGUGCAGCCGCUAUUGAGGGUUCGUUUGUUCAACGAUUAAUAA
rnacentral:rRNA from 1 species